UACGGGGGGAGCAAGCGUUGUUCGGAUUUACUGGGCGUAAAGGGCGCGUAGGCGGCCUACUAAGUCGGACGUGAAAUCCCUCGGCUCAACCGGGGAACUGCGUCCGAUACUGGUGGGCUCGAAUCCGGGAGAGGGAUGUGGAAUUCCAGGUGUAGCGGUGAAAUGCGUAGAUAUCUGGAGGAACACCGGUGGCGAAGGCGGCAUCCUGGACCGGUAUUGACGCUGAUGCGCGAAAGCCAGGGGAGCAAACGGG
rnacentral:rRNA from 1 species